rfam:Pseudogymnoascus sp. 05NY08 unplaced genomic scaffold scaffold_50, whole genome shotgun sequence.
GCUCCAAUGGCGCAAUGGUAGCGCGCAAGACUUCUACUAAUGACUCUCGUCUAGUCAUGUAAAUCAAUCUUGAGGUUGAGGGUUCGAGCCCCUCUUGGAGUG